UUCAAAUUCUCAUUCAACUUACUCAUUUUUAAACUCUUACUACUUCCACAUACAUUGACAUAGAGCCACCAUUCAAACUUUAAAACGAAGACAAGACAUUCAAUUAUUCAACUUGUAUUUAUCUUUUCAAUAUCUAUUAUACUUUUUCUUCAGUUCCAGUUUAAGUUUCAUGAUGUUUUUUCACCCGUUUCAGAGUUUAUAAUGGGUGUGUAUGGGACGGAAUGUUGGGGCUAGAGUGAGGCAGCUCAACUGCUAGAGUGAGAGGAGCAAAAAAAUUAAUCUUAAAAUCUUUUUUAAAACUGCUGCUGUGUCCGCAGCGUUUGCUCUACAGGUAUGAUUUUACCCUCAAAACGUAGCCAUGGCUGUCCUCUUUCAUCCAAUGUGUUUACUAUUGUCCUAGGUGUUAUGGUUCUUUCAUAAAUGUCACCAAUGCACAGCCUCCUCCCUCCAACUCUUCCAUAGACUCCAAUGUUAAAAUGUCUCAGAAGGUUGGUUUGAAAAUCAGAAGAGCAUGGUGUCUUUACACUGUCACCACGUCCAUAUAAUAAACUCCACAGGCAUGAAAACUGAGAAUUCAGUAGACUAGACAUUGCUGCCGCUCACGGUGAAAGAAUUUCGUCAAUACGACCUAUACUUUUCAUUUGGGAACGAUUUGUUUCGGCCUGACGUUUCUGUUCAUUUUAAGCAGCAAAAGUGAGGUGCAUGUCUGUGUACGUGUGUAUGGAGCCAUUGGGUGCAGUCACUAUAGCAACCAGGCUCACACCUGCCUGCUUAACGAGCUCUGCCUGCCACUGUACCAAGAUUCAUCUUAAACACUUCUCUUUCAACUGCUGCUGUGUCCACAGUGUUACAGCCAUCAUUUUACCCUCAAAUUGUCGCCAUUAUUGUUCUCUUUCCAACACCGUGUCUUUCAAAGCUCAGGCAUUUAAACUUUUUAAACUGUGUGGAUCAAAGUGGAGGGAUCACAUUUUAGUCAUUCAGUGAUUCAAAGAAUAUGACCUUUUAAUAUUCAUUCAGAUGUUUUCUGACUCUAAAUGUUCUUUUCUCAUUUCUUAGGUUUUUCUAAUUUACAAUUAAAACAUUUUCAGCUUUUUUCCAACUUCUUCUUCUGUGUAACCUUCAGCUUUUAGCAGUUCAGCACCUUUGUUUUCAGGUUAAAUUCGUUUGGUUUUUUUUGUUUUUUUUUUAAUCUCAUUCAAUAUUUUUAACUCAAAAUUCAGCAAUUAAUUCAUUUCAGUGCAUACAUUCAGAUUCAAGCAUUCACACUGCAGUUUCUUCAGAAAAUGCACUUUCUAGUUAUUAUAUUUUAUCUAUUCCGUACGUUUUUUGUACUCCUACUCCUUCAAAACCGUUCAACUUAGAAAAACCAUUCAAACACCAUUAGAUUCCUAUUCUUUUGGACAUGACUGCUUCUACUUUUCUCAUUUUUAACAUUUAUAUUUUUAAUUUUAUUCAACUUUAUUCAACAAAAAUUUCCCAUGUAUUUCAAUGGGGAGACCCUUCAAAUUCUCAUUCAACUUACUCAUUUUUAAACUCCUACUACUUCCACAUACGUUGACAUAGAGCCACCAUUCAAACUUUAAAACGAAGACAAGACAUUCAACUAUUCAACUUGUAUUUAUCUUUUCAAUAUCUAUUAUACUUUUUCUUCAGUUCCAGUUUAAGUUUCAUGAUGUUUUUUCACCCGUUUCAGAGUUUAUAAUGGGUGUGUAUGGGACGGAAUGUUGGGGCUAGAGUGAGGCAGCUCAACUGCUAGAGUGAGAGGAGCAAAAAAAUUAAUCUUAAAAUAUUUUUUAAAACUGCUGCUGUGUCCGCAGCGUUUGCUCUACAGGUAUGAUUUUACCCUCAAAACGUAGCCAUCGCUGUCCUCUUUCAUCCAAUGUGUUUACUAUUGUCCUAGGUGUUAUGGUUCUUUCGUAAAUGUCACCAAUGCACAGCCUCCUCCCUCCAACUCUUCCAUAGACUCUAAUGUUAAAAUGGCUCAGAAGGUUCGUUUGAAAAUCAGAAGAGCAUGGUGUCUUUCCACUGUCACCACGUCCAUAUAAUAAGCUCCACAGGCAUGAAAACUGAGAAUUAGGUAGACUAGACAUUGCUGUCGCUCACGGUGAAAGAAUUUUGUCAAUACGACUUUUACUUUUCAUUUGGGAACGAUUUGUUUCGGCCUGACUUUUCUGUUCAUUUUAAGCAGCAAAAGUGAGGCGCAUGUCUGUGUACGUGUGUAUGGAGCCAUUGGGUGCAGUCACUAUAGCAACCAGGCUCACACCUGCCUGCUUAACGAGCUCUGCCUGCCACUCUGCCAAGAUUCAUCUUAAACACUUCUCUUUCAACUGCUGCUGUGUCCACAGUGUUACAGCCAUCAUUUUACCCUCAAAACGUCGCCAUCGUUGUUCUUUUUCCAACAUCUUGUCUUUCAAAGCUCAGAGAUGUAAACUUUUUAAACUGUGUGGGUCCAAGUGGAGGGAUCACAUUUUAGUCAUUCAGUGAUUCAAAGAAUAUGACCUUUUAAUAUUCUUUCAGAUGUUUUCUGACUCUAAAUGUUCUUUUCUCAUUUCUUAGGUUUUUCUAAUUUAAAAUUAAAACAUUUUCAGCUUUUUUCCAACUUCUUCUGUGUAACCUUCAGCUUUUAGCAGUUCAGCACUUUUGUUUUCAGGUUAAAUUCGGUUUUUUUUUUUUAUCUCAUUCAAGAUUUUUAACUUAAAUUCAGUAAUUAAUUCAUUUCAGUGCAUACAUUCAGAUUCAAGCAUUCACACUGCAGUUUCUUCAGAAAAUGCACUUUCUAGUUCUAUUUUAUUAUUAUCUAUUCCGUACGUUUUUUGUAAUCUAUCUCCUUCAAAACCGUUCAACUUAGAAAAACCAUUCAAACACCAUUAGAUUCCUAUUCUUUUGGACAUGACUGCUUCUACUUUUCUCAUUUUUAACAUUUAUAUUUUUAAUUUUAUUCAACUUUAUUCAACAAAAAUUUCCCAUGUAUUUCAAUGGGGAGACCCUUCAAAUUCUCAUUCAACUUACUCAUUUUUAAACUCCUACUACUUCCACAUACGUUGACAUAGAGCCACCAUUCAAACUUUAAAACGAAGACAAGACAUUCAACUAUUCAACUUGUAUUUAUCUUUUCAAUAUCUAUUAUACUUUUUCUUCAGUUCCAGUUUAAGUUUCAUGAUGUUUUUUCACCCGUUUCAGAGUUUAUAAUGGGUGUGUAUGGGACGGAAUGUUGGGGCUAGAGUGAGGCAGCUCAACUGCUAGAGUGAGAGGAGCAAAAAAAUUAAUCUUAAAAUCUUUUUUAAAACUGCUGCUGUGUCUGCAGCGUUUGCUCUACAGGUAUGAUUUUACCCUCAAAACGUAGCCAUGGCUGUCCUCUUUCAUCCAAUGUGUUUACUAUUGUACUAGGUGUUAUGGUUCUUUCAUAAAUGUCACCAAUGCACAGCCUCCUCCCUCCAACUCUUCCAUAGACUCUAAUGUUAAAAUGGCUCAGAAGGUUCGUUUGAAAAUCAGAAGAGCAUGGUGUCUUUACACUGUCACCACGUCCAUAUAAUAAACUCCACAGACAUGAAAACUGAGAAUUAGGUAGACUAGACAUUGCUGUCGCUCACGGUGAAAGAAUUUUGUCAAUACGACUUUUACUUUUCAUUUGGGAACGAUUUGUUUCGGCCUGACUUUUCUGUUCAUUUUAAGCAGCAAAAGUGAGGCGCAUGUCUGUGUACGUGUGUAUGGAGCCAUUGGGUGCGGUCACUAUAGCAACCAGGCUCACACCUGCCUGCUUAACGAGCUCUGCCUGCCACUCUGCCAAGAUUCAUCUUAAGCACUUCUCUUUCAACUGCUGCUGUGUCCACAGUGUUAAAGCCAUCAUUUUACCCUCAAAACGUCGCCAUCGUUGUUCUCUUUCCAACAUCUUGUCUUUCAAAGCUCAGAGAUGUCAACUUUUUAAACUGUGUGGGUCCAAGUGGAGGGAUCACAUUUUAGUCAUUCAGUGAUUCAAAGAAUAUGACCUUUUAAUAUUCUUUCAGAUGUUUUCUGACUCUAAAUGUUCUUUUCUCAUUUCUUAG
ensembl:lncRNA